rnacentral:rRNA from 1 species
UACAGAGGUCUCGAGCGUUAGGCGGAAUCACUGGGCUUAAAGCGUGUGUAGGUGGAUCGUUAAGUACCUUGUGAAAUCCCACGGCUCAACCGUGGAACUGCUGGGUAUACUGGCGGUCUUGAGCCACCUAGGGGCAACUGGAACAAGCGGUGGAGCGGUGAAAUGCGUAGAUAUCGCUUGGAACGCCAACGGUGAAAACAGGUUGCUGGGGGUGUGCUGACGCUGAGACACGAAAGCCAGGGGAGCGAACGGG